UACAGUUGCUGCCAUGGAAACCAACGCAGUCAAUGUAGCUUCAUCCCUGACGCGUGUGGCACCACUUAGAGCUAUCCAUUUGGCGACGGAUAGUGAGAGGCAGCAGAGAGAAGGAUGCGGAAAACGUUGAGUAAUAAGAUCGCUUUCUCGCCACUAAAUAUAGCUCUUACAAGAAUUGAGAAGGCUUUGCGGGUUCUAGGGGACGUCGCCUUGACUGAUUAGGGCAAGGUACGAUGUUCACCCACUUCACAUAUCCCCGUUUUUGGAGGAUAGGAUGAAACUCUGCCAGUAGAUAAUACAGACAUCUGCCAUGAGGACUACAUUCCCUUUAUUUGGACUUCUUAGUUUCCAGCCUUAAAUUCCUGAGUAGCUCCACGACGAGGAGUGUGUGUGGUUUAUAACGAGUAGUGCUAAGAAUAUUCCAAAGAGGCAACACACCGGCAUAUUAUUACAAGAAGUUACAACAAAGAGGAAGCCAUCUUUUGACGUCACCGUGCUUCAAGGUCAGGAGAGAUCAUAAUAAUCUACAGAAUUACUCCAUUUACUACCAACAUACCUCGAGGAAUGGCUCAAAGAGACAUUUUAUUCGUUAUUUUACCAGAAGAGAACGCAGCUCAACUUACAGAAAACAUUUCAAGACGUGAUGUUCCAGUUUAAUUUAGUGUAGUGAUACUUGGAUAAACUUUAGUUUUCUCCAACCGGAACGACAGUAGAUUGCGGAUGGAACAACAGGAAGUUUGUGAUACGUCUA